GCCGGGCAUGGUGAACCAUGCCUGUAAUCCCAGCUACUCGGGAGGCUGAGAUGGGAGAAUUGCUUGAGCCUGGGAGGCCGAGGUUGCAGUGAGCUGAGAUCAUGCCACUGUACUCUGGCCUGGGUGACAGAAUGAGACUCCAUCUCAA
ensembl:misc_RNA Metazoa_SRP Metazoan signal recognition particle RNA